CUCCUACGGGGCGCAGCAGUGGGGAAUAUUGGGCAAUGGGCGCAAGCCUGACCCAGCGACGCCGCGUGAGGGAAGACGGUCUUCGGAUUGUAAACCUCUUUCAGCAGGGAAGACAAAAGGACGGUACCUGCAGAAGAAGCCACGGCUAACUACGUGCCAGCGGCCGCGGUAAUACGUAGGUGGCGAGCGUUAUCCGGAAUGAUUGGGCGUAAAGGGUGCGUAGGCGGCCUGCUAAGUCUGGAGUGAAAGGUACCGGCUCAACCGGUACAGGCUCUGGAAACUGGCGGGCUAGAGAGCAGGAGAGG
rnacentral:rRNA from 1 species